rnacentral:rRNA from 1 species
UACGUAGGUGGCAAGCGUUGUCCGGAUUUACUGGGCGUAAAGAGCGCGCAGGCGGUCGGCCAAGUCGAGUGUGAAAGCCCCCGGCUCAACUGGGGAGGGUCAUUCGAUACUGGUCGACUCGAAGGCAGGAGAGGGAAGCGGAAUUCCCGGUGUAGUGGUGAAAUGCGUAGAUAUUGGGAGGAACACCAGUGGCGAAGGCGGCUUCCUGGCCUGUUCUUGACGCUGAGGCGCGGAAAAGCUAGGGGAGCAAACGGGG